rnacentral:rRNA from 1 species
UACGUAGGGGGCUAGCGUUGUCCGGAUUUAUUGGGCGUAAAGAGCGUGUAGGCGGCCAGGUAGGUCUGCUGUGAAAACUCGAGGCUCAACCUCGAGACGUCGGCGGAAACCAUCUGGCUAGAGUCCGGAAGAGGAGAGUGGAAUUCCUGGUGUAGCGGUGAAAUGCGCAGAUAUCAGGAGGAACACCUGAGGCGAAGGCGGGCUACUGGGCCGAUACUGACGCUGAUGUGCGAAAGCCAGGGGAGCGAACGGG